rnacentral:rRNA from 1 species
GCUUACGACCAUAUCACGUAGAAAAUACUGGUUCUCGUCUGAUCACCAAAGUCAAACUACGUCGAGCCGAGUUAGUACUUGGGAGGGGAACCACUUGGGAACACUCGGUGUCGUAAGCUUUU